UACGAAGGGGGCUAGCGUUGCUCGGAAUCACUGGGCGUAAAGCGCACGUAGGCGGCUUUUUAAGUCAGGGGUGAAAUCCUGGAGCUCAACUCCAGAACUGCCUUUGAUACUGAGAAGCUUGAGUCCGGGAGAGGCGCGUGGAAUUGCAGGUGUAGCGGUGAAAUGCGUAGAUAUCUGCAGGAACACCCGUGGCGAAAGCGGCGCGCUGGACCACUACUGACGCUGAGGAACGAAAGCUAGGGGAGCAAACAGG
rnacentral:rRNA from 1 species